rnacentral:snRNA from 1 species
UUGCUUCAUCAGCAUACACACUAAACUUGGAAAGAUGCUGAGAUUAGCAUAUGCCUGUACAGGGAAGAAAUGCAAAUCCAUGAAGUGUUCUACAUUUUG